rnacentral:rRNA from 1 species
GAGCUUGCUCAUUGGGAAAGUGGCGCACGGGUGCGUAACGCGUAUGCAACCUACCUUAAUCAGGGGGAUAGCCCGAAGAAAUUCGGAUUAACACCGCAUAAAAACACAGGAUAGCAUUAUCCAAUGUUCAAAUAUUUAUAGGAUUAAGAUGGGCAUGCGUGUCAUUAGCUAGUUGGCGGGGUAACGGCCCACCAAGGCGACGAUGACUAGGGGAUCUGAGAGGAUGACCCCCCACACUGGUACUGAGACACGGACCAGACUCCUACGGGAGGCAGCAGUAAGGAAUAUUGGUCAAUGGAGGCAACUCUGAACCAGCCAUGCCGCGUGCAGGAAGACAGCCCUCUGGGUCGUAAACUGCUUUUAUUCGGGAAUAAACCUUAUUACGUGUAAUAAGCUGAAUGUACCGAAGGAAUAAGGAUCGGCUAACUCCGUGCCAGCAGCCGCGGUAAUACGGAGGAUCCAAGCGUUAUCCGGAUUUAUUGGGUUUAAAGGGUGCGUAGGCGGCUUAUUAAGUCAGGGGUGAAAGACGGUGGCUCAACCAUCGCAGUGCCCUUGAUACUGAUGAGCUUGAAUACACUAGAGGUAGGCGGAAUGUGACAAGUAGCGGUGAAAUGCAUAGAUAUGUCACAGAACACCGAUUGCGAAGGCAGCUUACUAUGGUGUGAUUGACGCUGAGGCACGAAAGCGUGGGGAUCAAACAGGAUUAGAUACCCUGGUAGUCCACGCCCUAAACGAUGAAUACUCGCUGUUAGCGAUAUACAGUUAGCGGCUAAGCGAAAGCGUUAAGUAUUCCACCUGGGGAGUACGCCCGCAAGGGUGAAACUCAAAGGAAUUGACGGGGGCCCGCACAAGCGGAGGAGCAUGUGGUUUAAUUCGAUGAUACGCGAGGAACCUUACCCGGGCUUGAAAGUUAGUGAAUCAUUUAGAGAUAGAUGAGUGAGCAAUCACACGAAACUAGGUGCUGCAUGGCUGUCGUCAGCUCGUGCCGUGAGGUGUUGGGUUAAGUCCCGCAACGAGCGCAACCCCUAUGUUUAGUUGCCAGCACGUUAAGGUGGGGACUCUAAACAGACUGCCUGUGCAAACAGAGAGGAAGGAGGGGACGACGUCAAGUCAUCAUGGCCCUUACGUCCGGGGCUACACACGUGCUACAAUGGAUGGUACAGAGGGCAGCAAGCUGGUAACAGCAAGCAAAUCUCAAAAAGCCAUUCACAGUUCGGAUAGAGGUCUGCAACUCGACCUCUUGAAGUUGGAUUCGCUAGUAAUCGCGUAUCAGCAAUGACGCGGUGAAUACGUUCCCGGGCCUUGUACACACCGCCCGUCAAGCCAUGGAAGUUGGGGGUACCUAAAGUAUGUAACCGCAAGGAG